rnacentral:rRNA from 1 species
UACGGAGGGUGCAAACGUUGCUCGGAAUUAUUGGGCGUAAAGCGCGCGCAGGCGGUCCUUUAAGUCUGAUGUGAAAGCCCACGGCUCAACUGUGGAGGGUCAUUGGAAACUGGGGGACUUGAGUACAGAAGAGAAGAGUGGAAUUCCACGUGUAGCGGUGAAAUGCGUAGAGAUGUGGAGGAACACCAGUGGCGAAGGCGACUCUUUGGUCUGUAACUGACGCUGAGGCGCGAAAGCGUGGGGAGCAAACAGG